CCUACGGGUGGCAGCAGUGAGGAAUAUUGGUCAAUGGACGCAAGUCUGAACCAGCCAAGCCGCGUGCAGGAAGACGGCUCUAUGAGUUGUAAACUGCUUUUGUGCGAGGGUAAAAGCAGAUACGCGUGUCUGUCUGAAAGUAUCGUACGAAUAAGGACCGGCUAAAUCCGUGCCAGCAGCCGCGGUAAUACGGAGGAUUCAAGCGUUAUCCGGAUUUAUUGGGUUUAAAGGGUGCGUAGGCGGUCGGAUAAGUUAGCGGUGAAAUCCCGAGGCUCAACUUCGGAAUUGCCUCUGAAACUGGUCGGCUUGAGUGUGGUUGCGGUAGGCGGAAUGUAUGGUGUAGCGGUGAAAUGCUUAGAGAUCAUGCAGAACACCGAUUGCGAAGGCAGCUUACCGAGCUACUACUGACGUUGAGGCACGAAAGCGUGGGGAGCAAACAGGAUUAGAUACCCUUGUAGUC
rnacentral:rRNA from 1 species